rnacentral:rRNA from 1 species
CCUACGGGAGGCAGCAGUGGGGAAUAUUGGGCAAUGGGCGCAAGCCUGACGCAGCAACGCCGCGUGAAGGAAGAAGGCUUUCGGGUUGUAAACCUCUAUUCUCAGGGACGAAGCAAGCGACGGUAACUGAGGAAUAAGCCACGGCUUACUACGCGCCAGCAGCCGGGGUAAUACGUGGGUGGCAAGCGUUAGGCGGAUUUACUGGGUGUAAAGGGCGUGUAGGCGGCACCACAAGUCAGAUGUGAAACCCACGGGCUCAACCUGUGACCUGCAGUUGAAACUGUAGUGCUUGAGUUCUGGAGAGGCAGACGGAAUUCCUAGUGUAGCGGUGAAAUGCGUAGAUAUUAGGAGGAACACCAGUGGCGAAGGCGGUCUGCUGGACAGCAACUGACGCUGAGGCGCGAAAGCGUGGGGAGCAAACAGGAUUAGAUACCCGAGUAGUC